UGUCAAAAGUGCGACCUAUGUUGCUAUGGUGACAAUGGAUACAUGGAAGGCUUGAGCUUGUCGUUACACUGCCACCUACAGGUUUGGCAUGCUCUUGUGUAUAUAUACACGGGUAAGUGUAAACGAAGAUCUUUUUGAAAACGGAGACGGUGAAAUGUCCGUUUAUGAAAAUAGCCGGCAACGUGUAAACGGCCUCAGAGUCUUCUGGUCUUCUGGCAGUUUUCUUUUUAACAUCGGUGAUGCAGAACAUAUCAGUAAGGCCACUGUAUGCAGAGCUGUGAGAAAAAUGAGACUUGCGCUGAAAUGUCUGCUAAACUUUUUUGUUGUGUUCCCUGGGCACAAACCUGUGAGCGUCAUCAAGGAGGAGCUCCACAGGAUUGCAGGAUUUCCUGGUGUGAUUGGCUGCAUAGAUGGAUCACACAUUCCUAUCACUGCUCCCUCACAAAAUGAAGGGGAUUAUGUGAAUAGGAAGUCCAUUCACAGCAUUAAUGUGCAGGAUCAUAUGUGAUGCAGCCCACAUCAUAACCAAUGUGGAGGCCAAGUGGCCUGGGUCUGUGCAUGACUCACAGAUAUAUCGUGAGUCUAAUCUGAGCAACAUAAUGGAACAUGGAGAGUUUGAUGGCUUUCUGCUGGGUGACAGGGGUUACCUAUGCCAGCCUACGUUACUGACCCCUUACCCUGACCCAGGCCCCCAACAGAACUUCAACCUGGCCCAUUGCAGGAUGACAUUAAAUUAUACAGUUGCACAUGAAUUCUACAGAAUUAACCUUUGGCAUUUACUGAACAUCUUACUGUGUGAAUCUGUGCUGUGGAGGUUAAUGGACCCUCCUCCUGCUGCCCAGCCAUGCUCUAUUAAAAAGGAUAAGAAUAUCUGUUAAUACUUAAGUGUACGGUAAAUGUCACUCUAUAAUCCACAAAAGAAUGUUAAGGAAUGUGAAUGGGGAGGAAACUAUCAGUAACAACAUCAAGAUGUUGGCCCCUCAGGCUCCCUCUCUGUGGCAGCAGACAAUGUGACAUCAUCAUCCCCAUCAUCCUGUGAAGAUGAGUGUUGUGUUUCAGUAUACU